rnacentral:rRNA from 1 species
UACGUAGGGUGCAAGCGUUGUCCGGAAUUAUUGGGCGUAAAGAGCUCGUAGGCGGUUUGUCGCGUCUGCUGUGAAAACGCGGGGCUCAACUCCGCGCCUGCAGUGGGUACGGGCAGACUAGAGUGCAGUAGGGGAGAGUGGAAUUCCCGGUGUAGCGGUGAAAUGCGCAGAUAUCGGGAAGAACACCCGUGGCGAAGGCGGCUCUCUGGGACGGUACUGACGCUGAGACGCGAAAGCGUGGGGAGCGAACAGG